GACAGAGGGGGCAAGCGUUGCUCGGAAUUACGUGGGCGUAAAGGGCGCGUGAGGCGGGAUGGCAAGUCGGUCGUGAAAUCCCUCGGACUCACCGAGGAACGUCGAUCGAUACUGCUGUUCUUGAGGAUUGCAGAGGAGACUGGAAUUCCCGGAUGUAGCGGUGAAAUGUGUAGAGAGUCGGGAGGAACGACCGGUGGCGAAGG
rnacentral:rRNA from 1 species